rnacentral:rRNA from 1 species
GACGAACGCUGGCGGCGUGCCUAACACAUGCAAGUCAGGGAGAAAAGGGUAGCAAUAUCCUGAGUAAACCGGCGAACGGGUGAGUAACACGUAGGCAACUUACCUUGAGAACGGGAAUAACCCCGGGAACCGGGGCUAAUACCCGAUGUUAUUCCGUUGUAGCAUUGCAAUGGAAUAAAAAGCCCGCAAGGGCGUCACAAGAUAGGCCUGCGUCCCAUUAGAUAGUUGGCGGGGUAACAGCCCACCAAGUCGACGAUGGGUAGCUGGUCUGAGAGGACGAUCAGCCACACUGGAACUGAGACACGGUCCAGACUUCUACGGAAGGCAGCAGUGAGGAAUAUUGCUCAAUGGGCGAAAGCCUGAAGCAGCGACGCCGCGUGAAGGAUGAAAUCCGUUAGGAUGUAAACUUCUUUGCGGGGGAAGAAUGUGCGCCUUGGGCGCAUUGACCGGUACCCCGUGAAUAAGCACCGGCCAACUACGUGCCAGCC